rnacentral:rRNA from 1 species
AUUGAACGCUGGCGGCAGGCCUAACACAUGCAAGUCGAGCGGAUGAAGGGAGCUUGCUCCUGGAUUCAGCGGCGGACGGGUGAGUAAUGCCUAGGAAUCUGCCUGGUAGUGGGGGAUAACGUCCGGAAACGGGCGCUAAUACCGCAUACGUCCUGAGGGAGAAAGUGGUGGAUCUUCGGACCUCACGCUAUCAGAUGAGCCUAGGUCGGAUUAGCUAGUUGGUGGGGUAAAGGCCUACCAAGGCGACGAUCCGUAACUGGUCUGAGAGGAUGAUCAGUCACACUGGAACUGAGACACGGUCCAGACUCCUACGGGAGGCAGCAGUGGGGAAUAUUGGACAAUGGGCGAAAGCCUGAUGCAGCCAUGCCGCGUGUGUGAAGAAGGUCUUCGGAUUGUAAAGCACUUUAAGUUGGGAGGAAGGGCAGUAAGUUAAUACCUUGCUGUUUUGACGUUACCAACAGAAUAAGCACCGGCUAACUUCGUG